AUCAUACUCCCUCCGUUCGGAAUUACUUGUCUUGAAAAUGGAUGUAUCUAGAACUAAAAUAUGUCUAGAUACAUCCAUUUCUGUGACAAGUAAUUCCGAACAGAGGGAGUAGCUU
rnacentral:pre_miRNA from 1 species